UGGCAAGUUUGAUGUAUAACUACUAAUGUUAGGUAGCUAGCUAACAUACCGGUACAUACUGCUGUAAUGAUAUGCUAUGUGGUUCGUAAGGACAGAGUUGCUAACAAGUUGUCAGCCAACAACGUGUAAGGUAACUUAUUUGAAAAGUCCUUACUUAAUUACAUUGAGUAGCAAGCUACCCCUUGGUCGUUAGGGCAAAUCUGGUCUGUGAUAGGAAGGGGGGUUUUCACAUCUAGCUCGGCUAUUAGACUAUUCUUUAGUAAAGGUUGAAUAGUCUAUUGUUCAGCUACUAGCCCUCCUCCCCAACUUGCAACAAAUUGCUGUUCCCAUCUCAUUCCUUUCCCUCCUCCACAUGUCAUCAUUCUGCUCCUGAGUGGCUCGCUUGUGGGCAUGCUGGCAGGAUAUGGCAGCAUUUUUGGUUGUGCGUCAAGAAUUCUGCAUACAGUAGCACGUUUGUAUGAGGUAUGGUUAUUCACAGGCAAAUGGUUAUAUGCUAUGGAGGUACAUUUGACUCUUUUUGUCGAGAGCAAAACCUUUUUUAUAUUCAAUCAAAAAUCAUUGUUCUGAAAGCAACUUUUUUCCGACACAAAGACAGUUAAAGCGGACACCUACGAAGAUGGCAUCUCAGAGAGCGAGCUGACAAAGGGGUCGAAAAUGUAGAUAUUGCCAGAUGUUCACUGUGCGAGGAACAGGCCGUGGAAGCUUUAUUGCUGGCAAAAGUGUCCAUAACCAGAGGUUAUAUCAACUGGCUGACACAGAAGGCACAGCAUGAUCAUAGGUGAGAUGUCACUUGGUCGGGUCAACAGUACUGUAUGUUUUGAUGUGAGAGAGGAAGCCAGUCCCAUCAUCGCCACUUCACCCGCUCUUAAGAUAACCUUCGGGACAACUGGGGGCCCAAGGCGGGUUAGGAGACACCCCAAUUAUGAUGAGCUGAGAGAAUAUUAGGGUAGCACUGUAAUUCAUGAAUCAUAUGCUGUCUGCCCCUGUUCUUACCGCUCCCCCUUUCUGUCUUCUACACCUCUCUCCCCACCUCACCUUUCUUCUCGUUUUAUAAUGCACACCAUAUGUGCAUUGAGGUACAGAUUGAACUUGUAUUUAUAAUAUUACAAUUAUCAUAAUUAUAAUGCAUUUAUAACACCUGGAUAAUUAACUUUUUUCAAUAAAGCAUUUCACAUUCUCCACUGGUUGAAAUUAAGUA